GAGUUCCGGUAUUCUCCAUCCCA
rnacentral:siRNA from 1 species